UCUAAUACCGGAUACGACACACGACCGCAUGGUCUGUGUGUGGAAAGCUCCGGCGGUGCAGGAUGAGCCCGCGGCCUAUCAGCUUGUUGGUGGGGUAAUGGCCUACCAAGGCGACGACGGG
rnacentral:rRNA from 3 species